rnacentral:lncRNA from 1 species
UCUAUUACAAAAUAUAGUGUACAAUGAAAGAUUUUGAUAUUUAAUAAUCUGUCUGAUAUGAAAGUAUUUGUUUCCUACUCAAAGCUGACUAGUUUGUGACAGAAAGGGCUGGGGUCUCAUGCUAUAAAAGAGCUGUUAACCUGAAAAAACCCCAAAAAACUCAUUUCACCCAUACAGGCAUGGAAUAAUGGAUGUUAAACACUAAUAUACAAAUUUAGAAUGUAAAUGUUGAAGCAUAGAGAAAUAUGCAAAUGAGUAUUUAUUAACAUUUUGUUUUGAAAUAAAUUCAGCUACAUUAAUUUAAAGACUCUUUGGAUGGAAAAUGGUAAGAUGAAAGCAUUUAGUUUGAUGGCAGAAAGAUUGGGACUGAUUUAGUGUAAUUGGUAGCAUUCCUGUUUCAGUUUUAGAAGAUGUAGCGUUUGAGUCCUACUAACAGCUUUCCAUCAUUUGUCAAUUCAAGGUGGUUUUUAUGUAAUGUGUUGUAAGCUCUUACAGCUGAAUUCUCUUUGAGAUACAUUAUUGAUUAAGGUUUAUUUAUAUGUGUGUGUGCGUGUAUGCAUCUGUCUGUAUGUGUGUGUGUGUGUAGACUGAUAUAUGGGCCUGUGGUUAAAAAGUUUGCUUCAUAACCAUAUGGUUUCAGUUUUUUUCCAACUUUUCCAAAAUGCUGAGCUGUAUUUCUUUUGGCUCUUUUUGUUCUGAGUUCAAAGUUUGCUGAGGUCAGUUUACCUCUCAUGCUUUUGGAGUCAAUAAAAUAACAGUUGAGAGCACUAGGGUAAAUGUAAACAACCCCACUUCACCAUCAAAAUUGUUGACCUUGUACCCAUAAUAGAAAGGAUUAUUAUUACUAUUAAAAUAGUAGGAUUCCUUCAGAUCCAGGCCAUCACCUCAGUAGCACUUCAUGUGAGUGGUUAAUGGAGUGCUGAAAGAGGUAUAUCCUCAUUAAUCAACUAACUGAUUAAUUAAUUAAUAAUGAAGUACUCAGCAAAUCUAAAGAGUGUAUAGCAACAAAUUGUAGUACAUUUAUCGCAGAGUAAAUAAUGAUAAAAGAAUUUGGAGUAAAAAUGAUUUUCUUUACAUGACAAUUGUUUCCAUGAGAUUACCCAUUUUGUACAUGUAAAAAAUUAGUAAAUAAAUAACCAUGCUUGCUUCAUACCCUUGCUUGAUGGGGUUGGGGCCGUCCCAGAGACAUCAUCAUGCAUAGAGCCUAUCAAAUCCAACAGUAUUUUCCAUUGCUGGCAGUUCUGUGCCAGCCCCUCUACAUCCUCCAAGGUGAUGUCAAGCUUCUGGAGAUCAUUCUCAAUGAUGUCUAGCCAUCUGGUGUGAAGCCUGCAAUGUGACCUCUUCCAGGCUGCAACUACUGUGAUGAAUGAAAGUGAAGCCCUGGUAGGAUGAUCUAGCGGGAGAUGGAGGACAUUGCUGUACUAGCACAUGGACUGAGGUGGGAGGCUGUGGACUUGUGUGUGCAUGCAUGCAAUUCUUUGUUAGGAACUUGAUGGUACCAUCUGAUGUUUUUGAUCAUUCUCAGGACUCUGCUAUCAGAGCUGUUGAUCCUCUUUGCCAGGGUCAUUGAUAGGGCCCAUGUUUCUGUUCCAUAAAGGAAAUAAUAAUCAUGUAAAGAAAAUUGUUGUCUUUCCUUAUUCAUUUAUAUGUCAUAAUGAAAACCACAAGUCUUGUGCAUAAUGAAAACCACAAGUCUUGUGCAUUGUGGUGCCAGAUACUUGUAGAGCACUUGAUUGUACGGGCUAAGCUUUGCCAAUCUUGAGAGCGAUCUGUGAUGGUCACUCCAAUAUGGUAGCAAUAAAUUUUGUGGUAAGGCUUCAACAAAUAUAAAUAGCACUCAAUCAGUUAAGAGAGUAAAGAUAAUUUUAUAAUGAAAAUCAAAGUCUUGUGCAUUGUGACACAGGGUACUUGAAUCAUAGAGUACUUGAGUGUACUGGCUAAGCUUUUGCUAAUGUUAAGAAUAAUCUGCAAUGGUCAUUCCGGUAUGGCAGCAAUAAAUUGUGUGGUAAGUCUUCAACAAGGAGAAUAGCACUGGAGCAACCAUUGCAGAUUCUUCUUCAGAUUGGCAAAGCUUAGUCAGUACAGUUGAGUGCUCUAUGAUACAAGUAUCCUGUGCCCCGAAGCACAGAGAUUGUGGGUUUCAUUAUAACUUUAUCUUUACUCUCUUAUGUGAUUAACUGCUGUUCUACUUGUUGAGGCCUUACCACACUCUGUGUAUGUUUGUGUCUUCCUAUUGUCCUGACAUUGCAUGUAACAUUGGUAGUGACAUUGUGUAGAACGUGUUAUUGUUUAAAUCAACUGCAAAAUGAAGUAUGCAGCUAUAUCAUUUAUUUAACAUCCAUGUUCCAUGCUAGUUAAAACAGAUUUUUGAAAAUGUUCCCAUAACUUGAAACAUCAUAGAUGUAUUACCUCUGUUCAGCAAAGAAAGUUUUUGGGCAGUUGCUCAACCUGUUAAAAAUAGCAGCCAAAUUUUCCUCAAAUCAUACACAAUCUUUUUAUGAAAAUGGCAUAUUGGACAAUGUAACUCUAGGAACACUGUCUGAAAGAACAUCAGAUGAUCAAGACUAAAAUACUUUGAUCUCUGGUCUUCUCCAUUAGAACUGACAUGAAGAUAAACAAUCAAUAUUUUCACAAAAGAUGUGCUUUAUGUUCCUCUGAGAAAUUCCAUAUUCUUACACAACCACUAUAUUGCUGAAUUUGAAGUUCAAUUUUUUUUUUUUUGUUUCCAUAAAAUGGAAUUUUUAUUGUAAUCAUUUACUAGAAAUGGUAGUUUCCUUUGUAGUAAGUUAUCUGGUGCAAUACUCUUUUUCACAACUAUCCUUUAUGCAUGGUAGUAACUUCCCACUUUUUACUGAGAUUACUUCCACAUGUUCCAGUUAGGGUAUGAAGCAGUCCACCACCUGAAUGGUGUUUCCUAUUAGCACACAACCAAGUACCCCUCAUUCAUUUUUUUUUUCUACUUUAAUGAUCGUACAUAUUGAGAAACUCUGAAUAGCAAUGGAGCUAAUCAACUUUUCCAAGUUAAUAAACUUACUAAUGUGUCGGGGUAUUUUCUCUGUCAUUUGUGCCUCCACAUACACACACACACACAAUUCUUUUUGGGAACCAUUCCUAAAAGAAUCAUUUCACAUUCGCUUGAAGUUUCUGAAUUUUUAUAACACUAACUACAUACACACAUGCACACUCACAUGCAUACACACACAUAUGUACACAUACAUAGAGAGAGAGAGGGAGGAAGAGAAAUAUUGGGUACUUGUGAAUUAAAACAGCUGCCACUCUUUUUCAAUUUUAUGCCGUACAUUUUGGUGCAGACUGUAGCAGCAGCAUAGAAUACCUCAUUCAAGAAUGUGAUAUUUAGUUAGUUUUUGUUUAUGAUGGUUUUGAGGACCAUGUUCACCUGGCUUAUUUUGUUUUGUUUUGUUUUACUGCUAUGAACCUUAUGAAGGUCACUGUGAACCUUCAUGUCCAUAUUUUGAACUUUGAUCCAUUUAGCCAUUAUUUGAUCUUGAAGUUCUCUCAGGUACCUUGUCUUGUUACCAGUAUUAUUUAUUUUCUCUAAAUUGUUGUUAGUCUCUUCAGUAUGUUCAUCUGUAAUGGGUUUGAUCAUCAGGGAGAGUAUUUUGGUUGUUUCUGGUUGCGUGUCAUGUUUACUUCUUCCAGCAAAGAUUUUUUCUUCUAUGACUCUGGCACAGUUCUUGUCUGUUAAUUUGCAAAUUGUAAAUACUAGGUUGUUUCUUAGAUCUAAUUUUACAUUCUUUUAUUUUGUCAAUUUUGAUAUCAGUUAAUGGUUUUCAUCUUAUGAUAUUUCUUUGCACAUUUGUAAACUUGUUGCUGUUUAGGUUUAGUCCUAUGUUAGGAUUUUUAUUUUUUCUCCAGUAAGAGAAAAGAAUCCUGAUAUAGGACAAAGAAUCCUUGUUCAGUGUUGAAGCUGUCUUAUUAUUAUUUAAGGCGGUGAGCUGGCACAAUUGUUAGCACCUCAGGCGAGAUGAUUAGCAGUAUUUUGUCUGUGUUUAUGUUCUGAGGUUGACUUUGCUUUUCAUCCUUUCAGUAUUGAUAAUGUAAGUACCAGUUGCACUCUGGGGUUGAUACAAUUGACAUAUCCUCAUCCUUGAAAUUGCUGCCCUUGUGGCAAAAUUUGAAACCAUUAUCAUUAUUAUCGUUGUUGUUGUUGUUGUUGUUAUUUAAGGUUGCAAGCUGGCAGAAUCGUUAGCAUGCCAGGUGAAAUGUUUAGCAGGAUUCAGUCUGUCUUUACGUUCUGAGUUCAAAUUCUGCUGAGGUCGACUUUGCCUUUCAUCCUUUCAGGGUCGAUAAAAUAACUACCAGUUGAACAUUGGGGUCGAUGUAAUCAACUUAUCUCCUCCCCCAAAAUGGCUGUCCUUUUUGGCAAAAUUUGAAACCAUUAUUAUUAUUAUUAAGUGGAUGGAAGUUACAAAGGUGACUCAAAGACAGAGUUUCAUACACAACACUUAUCAAACUUGAGUUACUUCUCUAACUUUAUGCCAAUUAAAAAUAAUAAUAAAAUCUAUUUACUCCUGAAUUGUAUUCUGUUUAUCCUGUUUAUUAAACCAAAUUUAUACACACACACAUACACACUAGGAGAGAAAGAGAGACACAACUUGUUUAUUUACUACUUGUUUAUUCACUACUACUAGUAAAUAUGUCAUCACUCUCUCUCUUCCCUCCUCUUUCUUUCCUUCUCCUCUCUCUCUCUCUCUCACACACACACACACAAAUGUUUAUUUGUGAACCAUUAAGGCAACUAAUCAUCUUUAGACAAAAUAUUUUACUCUGCUUUCCAUUUGAUUUUUACUUACUAUUUUAUUGGUACAGACCAUUCCUAAUUUUCUUAGACACAGCAAUGAAAGAUCAAAAACUAAAUUCCUUACAGGUGAAACAGUAGAAUCUAUCAACUCAUUCUUUCACUAAUUUCUACCUGCCUCCCUCACAACUAUCAACAAAUGUUUCCAACCAAUCUCAAAAAGAAGAACAAAAAGAAUCUUCCAUGAAGAACUGGUAUUUUAAAUAUGUUAAAAUAAACAAGGGAAGACAUGAAUCCCUGUUGGGUUGUUUUCAGCUGAGGCACAGUAAACAAACACAGAUGGUUGUGAAGCUGUAUAGGAGAGAGCAUCCUAGAGCAGCAUGUUUAUAGUGAAGUUAUUUUUCUAUAUUAGCAAUGCUUACUAAUAAUGAUUAUAAUAAGAUUGUGAAAUGUAUAAACAUGACAGCAUAUCUUAGUUGCCUCCAUCUUCCUAAAACUUGCUUUCUACCCAUCUGGAAAAAAAAAUGCAAAAAACACAAAAAAAUGUUUUGGCACAAUAGUUCCUAACCAUGGGCUAGUUUCUUGUGAGAAAAAUUUUCCAUGGGCUGAGAGAUCAUGCACAUAAUAAAUUGCAUAUCAUAUAAUUUAAUUAUCACAUAUAUAUGAGGUGUUUAGUAACAGACUGUCGUAAGUGCCACAACUUAAAAACCAAGAAAAAAUGCAGUCAAAGUUUUGUGAAUUUCAGAAUGUGAUAUUUUGGCAAGGAAUGAAGUUAAGAAGCUGGGUUUGGUCUUAAAAUGACCAUGAAGACCUCCUCUAGUCAUUCUACCUAUGUAAAAUUACUUACUUAUGUAUGCACCUUAAAGAAGAAACAAUGACUGCGUCUUUCUCAUCUUGUAGAAUAUACUGGUACUAUGAAAUGGUGUAUCGCAUUGCAUGUUUUAGCUAUAAUACCUAGAAAAAGCAUACAGAGACCCCAUCCCCAAAGGUAUUGUUUGUGUUUUAAUAUACCAAGGUAAGUAUCUUUAAGAGGUAAGUAAGACAAGAUAGUAAGAUAAUAGCUCAUUAUUGUUACAAUGGUGACAAGGAAUAUUAGAAAAUGAGGCAUAAUGCCUCGAAAAACGAUACAGGGACCACACCAAAGUUAUUGAUUAAGCGUAUGUGCUUACAAUGGUGUAUUACUAAACUCUCUGGCCCAAGUUUGGGCGAGCAAGCAAUGUGUCAAUAGUGUUGAGGUACAAAUUUUUUUCAGCCGGAUUUUCGACCUUAUUGCAAGCCUCACCAGUUCUUCCAACAUUUGCGGAUUCUAGAUGUUGAGACAAAAUAAUAUACUAACUUUGAAAAUGGCCAGGGUGGUGCUUACGACAUUCUGUUACUAAACACCUCAUAUAUAAUGCAAAACCACCCUGCAGCAGUGCACUACAACUGCUAUGCUGCUAGGUGUGCCACAGUGUAACCCGAAUGUAAUUUUUCCCCUAUACUUUUAGUUUAAUGUGUGCUGUCGAAUUUUGAAAAGAAUAUAAGUGUACUGCCCUACAGACAGGCAUUAGUCAAUUAAACAGAAAUAUUAAAAUACUUAUUCUUUCUGUGUAGCCUAGUACCAAAUAUUCCAUAGCCUGGUAUUGGUCUUUAGACCAUUACUUUGGGUACCCUAGUCUAGCAGAUAAAUCACAAAUAAUUUAAUAUUUAAUUUGCUUGAAUAGUAUUUUCCUGCUGCAACAAUGAUAAUUAGCUGACAUUCAAUGAUUAAUAUUUUCCUAGAUUCACUAAUUAAAAUCCAGAAAAUGGAGAAGUAGUGUUAAUAUAAUUUAUUAACAGCAAAAUUUCAACAUGUUCACUUAUAACUGUUUCGAUUUUGCCCAAAAGAAUUAAGUCUGUUGAGAUGUUUUGGAAGAAUAACAUGUAAUAACCUAAUGAUAUAUCUAUUUUACUCCUCUGACAAGGUUUUGCCUAAUAAAAUGUUUUAAUUACUAGAAUUUAAUUCUUAUGGGCAAAAUUGAAAUAGCUGUAAGUGAACAUGUUGAAUUUUUUUGCAGUUAAUACAUUAUAUUUUCUGGAUUUUAAUUUGAAUAUUUAUAAACCAAGAUUUAUAUUUAAACCUACUAUUUUAGAAAUAUUACUAUUCCCAACAAAAUAAUAGGUAACAAACCAGUAAUUCAUUGGAUAUAUGCUAUCCCUUGAGGUGGUUUUUUUAAAUCUCUUUUCAUACAUACAUACAUAUAUUCUUUUUGCUUAGGCAUGGGAGUACUAAUAACCUGGUGUUAGAACUCAGUAUACAUAUGCUUCAGAAAAAAUGCAUUAGUUGAGUACAGAGCAUAAUAAGGUAUAUAAAUGACAAGGGAACAAGAAAUUAUGUAAUGUACUCCAUUAGCUUACAACUGUUUCUGUUAUAAGAUGCAAUACACUUGUAGUUCAGUGUUCAUAUAUCACCUUAUAGCAGAAACAGUUGAAGAUUAUUACACACACACAUUAGAGUAAAAAAAAAUACUACUCAAAAUAUUUCACUGACAUGUCAACAAAAUUACAUUAAUGACGACAGAACUGUUUGCUGUUCUAUAGCGUUGAUUGUUCUACAGCAAUUUUUUUUUUAAUCUUCUACUUAUUUUUAACGUUAUUUCAAACUUCAUCAGUUAUAGUCACAUCUGAGAAAGAAGAAUCAAAUAAAAACACCAAAGAAAACAUUCCAUAUCAACUAGAGUUUUAAAAUAUUAUUAAAAAAAAAAUCUUUCUUUCUUGUUCUCUCCCUCUUUCUCCUCUU